GUCAAUGAUGCAUUCAUGUUGAAACUGAAUCCAAGUGAUUUAACUGAACAAUUCGUCACUACCACUGAGAC
rnacentral:snoRNA from 1 species